rnacentral:rRNA from 1 species
AUUGAACGCUGGCGGCAGGCCUAACACAUGCAAGUCGAGCGGGGUUUUCGGACCUAGCGGCGGACGGGUGAGUAAUGCGUAGGAAGCUGCCCGAUAGAGGGGGAUACCAGUUGGAAACGACUGUUAAUACCGCAUAAUGUCUACGGACCAAAGUGUGGGACCUUCGGGCCACAUGCUAUCGGGUGCCCCUACGUGGGAUUAGCUAGUUGGUGAGGUAAUGGCUCACCAAGGCGACGAUCUCUAGCUGGUUUGAGAGGAUGAUCAGCCACACUGGAACUGAGACACGGUCCAGACUCCUACGGGAGGCAGCAGUGGGGAAUAUUGGACAAUGGGCGCAAGCCUGAUCCAGCCAUGCCGCGUGUGUGAAGAAGGCCUUCGGGUUGUAAAGCACUUUCAGCGAGGAGGAAGGGGUGUGUGUUAAUAGUACACACCUUUGACGUUACUCGCAGAAGAAGCACCGGCUAACUCUGUGCCAGCCGCCGCAGUAAAAC